GAACUUAAGCAUAUCAAUAAGCGGAGGAAAAGAAACUAACAAGGAUUCCCCUAGUAACUGCGAGUGAAGCGGGAAAAGCUCAAAUUUAAAAUCUGGUGGUCCCGAGUUGGCUGCCCGAGUUGUAAUCUAGAGAAGUGCUUUCCGCGCUGGACCGUGUACAAGUCUCUUGGAACGGAGCGUCGUAGAGGGUGACAAUCCCGUCUUUGACACGGACUGCCAGGGCUUAUGUGAUGCGCUCUCGAAGAGUCGAGUUGUUUGGGAAUGCAGCUCAAAAUGGGUGGUAAAUUCCAUCUAAAGCUAAAUAUGGGCGAGAGACCGAUAGCGAACAAGUACCGUGAGGGAAAGAUGAAAAGAACUUUGAAAAGAGAGUUAAACAGUGCGUGAAAUUGUUGAAAGGGAAACGAUUCGAGUCAGUCGCGUUGGCCGGUAAUCAACCCUUGCGAAGGCGGGGGCUUACUUUCCGUCUGACGGGUCAGCAUCAAUUUUGACCGUCAGAUAAAGGUUUGGGGAACGUGGCAUCUUCGGAUGUGUUAUAGCCCCUUGUCAGAUGUGACGGUUGGGAUUGAGGAACUUGGCACGCCCGCAAAGGGUCGGGGCUUUUUGCCCACGUAACGUGCUUUGGAUGCUGGCAUAAUGGCUUGAACCGACCCGUCUUGAAACACGGACCAAGGAGUCUAACAUGCCUGCGAGUGUUUGGGUGGCAAACUCGAGCGCGAAGUGAAAGUGAAACUUGUCGAGAUCUCUGUCGCGGGGAGCACCGACGCCCGGACCUGACCUUUUGUGAAGGAUCCGCGGUUGAGCAUGCAUGUUGGGACCCGAAA
rnacentral:rRNA from 1 species